rnacentral:rRNA from 1 species
UACGUAGGCAGCGAGCGUUGUUCGGAUUUACUGGGCGUAAAGCGUGCGCAGGCGGUGAUGUAAGACAGGUGUGAAAUCCCCGGGCUUAACCUGGGAACUGCAUUUGUGACUGCAUCGCUGGAGUGCGGCAGAGGGGGAUGGAAUUCCGCGUGUAGCAGUGAAAUGCGUAGAUAUGCGGAGGAACACCGAUGGCGAAGGCAAUCCCCUGGGCCUGCACUGACGCUCAUGCACGAAAGCGUGGGGAGCAAACAGG